AUUGAACGCUGGCGGAAUGCUUUACACAUGCAAGUCGAACGGCAGCACGGACUUCGGUCUGGUGGCGAGUGGCGAACGGGUGAGUAAUGUAUCGGAACGUGCCCAGUCGUGGGGGAUAACGCGGUGAAAAUUACGCUAAUACCGCAUACGAUCUAUGGAUGAAAGCGGGGGAUCGCAAGACCUCGCGCGAUUGGAGCGGCCGAUGUCAGAUUAGGUAGUUGGUGGGGUAAAGGCCCACCAAGCCAACGAUCUGUAGCUGGUCUGAGAGGACGACCAGCCACACUGGGACUGAGACACGGUCCAGACUCCUACGGGAGGCAGCAGUGGGGAAUUUUGGACAAUGGGCGAAAGCCUGAUCCAGCCAUUCCGCGUGCAGGAUGAAGGCCCUCGGGUUGUAAACUGCUUUUGUACAGAACGAAAAGGUUUCUACUAAUACUAGGAGCUAAUGACGGUACUGUAAGAAUAAGCACCGGCUAACUACGUGCCAGCAGCCGCCGUAA
rnacentral:rRNA from 1 species